rfam:Sordaria macrospora k-hell, WGS project CABT02000000 data, contig: 2.43
UCCUUCGUGGCGCAAUUGGCUAGCGCGUCAGACUGUUAAUCUGGAGGCUGUAAGUUCGAUCCUUACCGAAGGAG